GACGAACGCUGGCGGCGUGCUUAACACAUGCAAGUCGAACGGAAAGGCCCUGCUUUUGUGGGGUGCUCGAGUGGCGAACGGGUGAGUAACACGUGAGUAACCUGCCCUUGACUUUGGGAUAACUUCAGGAAACUGGGGCUAAUACCGGAUAGGAGCUCCUGCUGCAUGGUGGGGGUUGGAAAGUUUCGGCGGUUGGGGAUGGACUCGCGGCUUAUCAGCUUGUUGGUGGGGUAGUGGCUUACCAAGGCUUUGACGGGUAGCCGGCCUGAGAGGGUGACCGGCCACAUUGGGACUGAGAUACGGCCCAGACUCCUACGGGAGGCAGCAGCGGGGAAUAUUGCACAAUGGGCGGAAGCCUGAUGCAGCAACGCCGCGUGCGGGAUGACGGCCUUCGGGUUGUAAACCGCUUUCGCCUGUGACGAAGCGUGAGUGACGGUAAUGGGUAAAGAAGCACCGGCUAACUACGUGCCAGCAGCCGCGGUGAUACGUAGGGUGCGAGCGUUGUCCGGAUUUAUUGGGCGUAAAGGGCUCGUAGGUGGUUGAUCGCGUCGGAAGUGUAAUCUUGGGGCUUAACCCUGAGCGUGCUUUCGAUACGGGUUGACUUGAGGAAGGUAGGGGAGAAUGGAAUUCCUGGUGGAGCGGUGGAAUGCGCAGAUAUCAGGAGGAACACCAGUGGCGAAGGCGGUUCUCUGGGCCUUUCCUGACGCUGAGGAGCGAAAGCGUGGGGAGCGAACAGGCUUAGAUACCCUGGUAGUCCACGCUGUAAACGGUGGGUACUAGGUGUGGGGUCCAUUCCACGGGUUCCGUGCCGUAGCUAACGCUUUAAGUACCCCGCCUGGGGAGUACGGCCGCAAGGCUAAAACUCAAAGGAAUUGACGGGGCCCCGCACAAGCGGCGGAGCAUGCGGAUUAAUUCGAUGCAACGCGUAGAACCUUACCUGGGUUUGACAUGGAUCGGGAGCGCUCAGAGAUGGGUGUGCCUCUUUUGGGGUCGGUUCACAGGUGGUGCAUGGCUGUCGUCAGCUCGUGUCGUGAGAUGUUGGGUUAAGUCCCGCAACGAGCGCAACCCUUGUUCACUGUUGCCAGCACGUUAUGGUGGGGACUCAGUGGAGACCGCCGGGGUCAACUCGGAGGAAGGUGGGGAUGACGUCAAGUCAUCAUGCCCCUUAUGUCCAGGGCUUCACGCAUGCUACAAUGGCUGGUACAGAGAGUGGCGAGCCUGUGAGGGUGAGCGAAUCUCGGAAAGCCGGUCUCAGUUCGGAUUGGGGUCUGCAACUCGACCUCAUGAAGUCGGAGUCGCUAGUAAUCGCAGAUCAGCAACGCUGCGGUGAAUACGUUCCCGGG
rnacentral:rRNA from 1 species